UACGGAGGGGGCGAGCGUUGUCCGAAGUUACUGGGCGUAAAGCGCGCGUAGGCGGGAGGCCAAGUCCGCUGUGAAAGCCCGGGGCUUAACCCCGGCGGGUCGGUGGAGACUGGUCUUCUUGAAGAUGCUAGGGGGAGAUGGAAUUAUCGGUGUAGCGGUGAAAUGCGUAGAGAUCGAUAGGAACACCAGUGGCGAAGGCGGUCUCCUGGGGCACUCUUGACGCUGGAGGCGCGAAAGCUGGGGAGCGAACGGG
rnacentral:rRNA from 1 species